rnacentral:pre_miRNA from 1 species
UAGCUUUGUCCUAAGUCAAACUAUCUUAAGUUUGACAAAGUUUAUGGAGAGGAGUCAAGAGUAUAAACAUUUAUGACAACUAUAAAUAUAUUUCAUGAUGAAUCUUAUGAUACUUAUUUAGUAUCAUAAAUAUUGAUGCUUUUUUGUAUAAACUUGGUCAAACUUAAGACGGUUUGACUUUGGACUAAGCUAG